rnacentral:rRNA from 1 species
GAUGAACGCUGGCGGCGUGCCUAAUACAUGCAAGUCGAGCGAACGGACGAGAAGCUUGCUUCUCUGAUGUUAGCGGCGGACGGGUGAGUAACACGUGGAUAACCUACCUAUAAGACUGGGAUAACUUCGGGAAACCGGAGCUAAUACCGGAUAAUAUUUUGAACCGCAUGGUUCAAAAGUGAAAGACGGUCUUGCUGUCACUUAUAGAUGGAUCCGCGCUGCAUUAGCUAGUUGGUAAGGUAACGGCUUACCAAGGCAACGAUGCAUAGCCGACCUGAGAGGGUGAGCGGCCAAAGUGGAAGGGAGACGCGGCCGAGACUCCGAGGGGAGGCCGCAGUGGGGAAUCUGGGACAAUGGGCGAAAGCCUGAGGGAGCCGCGCGGGGGGUGUGAAGAAGGUCUUCGGAGUGAAAAACUCUUUUAGGGGGGAAAAAGAGAAGGAAAGGAAUGUGUGCAUAUUUGGACGGUACUAAAGAAAAACGCCACGGCUAACUUCGUG